UACAGAGGUCUCAAGCGUUGUUCGGAUUCAUUGGGCGUAAAGGGUGCGUAGGCGGCGCGGUAAGUCGGGUGUGAAAUCUCGGAGCUUAACUCCGAAACUGCAUUCGAUACUGCCGUGCUUGAGGACUGGAGAGGAGACUGGAAUUUACGGUGUAGCGGUGAAAUGCGUAGAUAUUGGGAAGAACACCAGUGGCGAAGGCGGCUAACUGGUCCGGUACUGACGCUGAGGUGCGAAAGCGUGGGGAGCAAACAGG
rnacentral:rRNA from 1 species